rnacentral:misc_RNA from 1 species
UUAAGUUCAGCGGGUAGUCCUACUCGAUUUGAGGUCAAGUUGUCAGAAAGUGUCCUAAGACAGUUAGAAGCCCAGAGCUCCCAAUCGGCCACCCUCCUUGCAGAGGCGCCGGCGAAGACACUUAUCACGCCGUACUAUGUCCAACCAAGAGUUGCACUAACUCAUUUGAGGUGAGCCACAAGUAAAGCAGCAACACCCAA